GAAAUGAGAAGACAACACAGGGUACAAGCACAGGUAACCAAGCCUAUAGCUCAUUUAAUCCAGGAUUGGCAAACUUUAAAAACAGAUGCUAAUUCACCGUCCUUGGAGUAAGGAAAAUGUCAGUCAGUAUUUUCCUUAAGAGAUGGGAGAGGGAUACAUAGGCAUCUGUUACACUUUAUGCCCGUGUUCUUCAGAUCAGAUGAAAGGAUCGCGUUCAUGAAGACAUCCGAGUUGGUCGCCUAAGACUCGUUACCUUUCCCUACAAAUCCCGCUUCGCAGUAUUUCUCGAGCUCGCUGAAGUAUUACAAGCAAGUUAAACUCCCUGUAGUAUAUGACCCCUUAACCUUUGGUGUGAAGCUAUUAUCUUAGGCAUGCUACGAAGUUAUUUCUGUAAGUGAAGUAGCACUCUGCCUUACAGUUAAGUAUGCUGUAUCAGCCUAAUUUCAUGUUAUGCCAGAAACAGUAGCGACAUUCCAUAUCAUCCAAGCUUUAUUUAGAAAGUUACUUUCAACUUUUCAAUCUGCUUUAAAGAUAAGAAACCUAGAUCCACAAUUUUGUAUGGUGCCCUGCAAUUACUCCCAGAGGCAUUUACAAACACAAAUGCAUCCAGAAGUUCAAAGCCCCUCUAUUUCAGUCUGGCUCUAGCCUUUUGCAUUUUCUGUGGGUGGAUCCUCAGCCACAUGUGGUUUGCAGCAGCACGUGGAUUUCUUGGUUGCUUAAAGCCGGCUUCCCGGAGGAAGACCACUUCAACUGCCUCCACAAAGGCUUGUGCUUCAAAUGAAAAUUCUAAAUCAAUGUAUACAUUUCACUACUGUUUAUUCUACCAAAAACUCAAUGUAAGUGCAAGCCAUAUACA